GAAUGAGGCGUCUGUCUAACUACUGGGUCCAGGGUUAAUUCAGCUGAUCUGGCUGGUUAAGUGCGUUUCCUCUUCCAUGAUCACUGUUCCAAUGCUCUGUUUAGUCAAAGAGGAUCACCUUCUAGGACUAGAGAGGACCAGUCUUUAGUCAAAGGCAUAUAAGCAGCUGUAUUCUCCUGCUAGGAUCUCCAAACAAAUUCUCAAACAAGUGCCAUUACACUGAAGGCAGAACAACAGCAAGUCUAAUGAAUUUAAAAAGGACAAAGACAGCAAAAGCUAGAUUAUUCCAAUAUAUUUU
rnacentral:snRNA from 1 species